GGUGUUUUUUGAGUGACACACCCCAGAAUCAGGCUCCCUCCUCUCUGGUUCUGGUGUGUCACCCGAGAACUGCA
rfam:Myotis brandtii contig233637, whole genome shotgun sequence.